CUAGUUAAAACCUCCUUGUAGAUUACAGCGGCGGCUCAAGCGGCCUCCUUCUUCGCGGCUCAAACGGCCUCCAUGUUCUUGUAACCAGGUCGUGACGCUACAGCGGACGCAGAAGAUGUAGUCUCCACGGUUUCCGCAGACCAUCUUGAGUCCACCUACGGUUCCUCUAAGCCGAUGGCCUGUACGGUAAACUUUUAUCUACUGUAGCGACUUUACUUGUAACGUCUCCUAAACCUAUUGGCUGGAAGUUUUUUUCGUUUUUUAAGACUUUGUCCACAAGACCUCGGUAGUGGUUGAUACAGUCAUAGAAGAGGUUAAAGACUUACAAAACUUAGCUAACACGGCCUUAGUCAAAAUGGUAAUGUACUACAAUUCCUUGGUCUAAGGUUAUUUCUCUAGUAUCAACUUCUCUUUAUACUAAUAGAUGGUGUUCUGUUAUGUAACUGGCUAGUACUAGAUACACGAGUAUAUCGUUAUCUUAGUGGAAAGUCUUUUGUUAACAACCAAGUCUAGCUACCCUCAAGACACAAUGUUUUAGUCAACUACACAGACGAUCUACUUUUUCUCACCCAUUUACUACUACAUUCAUCAGUUUGUCCUUUUAACAAUAAUUAGUGAUUAUAGAUAAUGAUU
rnacentral:rRNA from 1 species